AGACUAUGAUGCUGGAAUGCUUUGUAGUCGAAAGGUCCGCCGCCGUAGGAUGGGUCUGCGGCCGAUUAGGUUGUUGUUGGGGUAACGGCCCAACAAGCCUGUAAUCGGUACGGGUUGUGGGAGCAAGAGCCCGGAGAUGGAUUCUGAGACACGAAUCCAGGCCCUACGGGGCGCAGCAGGCGCGAAAACUUUACAAUGCGGGAAACCGUGAUAGGGGAACUCCGAGUGCCCGUAAAAUCGGGCUGUCCACCAGUUUAAAUAACUGGUGAAGAAAGGGCCGGGCAAGACCGGUGCCAGCCGCCGCGGUAAUACCGGCGGCUCGAGUGGUGGCCACUAUUACUGGGCUUAAAGCGUUCGUAGCUGGUUUGUUAAGUCUCUGGGGAAAUCUUCCGGCUUAACCGGAAGGCGUCUCAGGGAUACUGGCAGACUAGGGACCGGAAGAGGUGAGAGGUACUCCAGGGGUAGGAGUGAAAUCCUGUAAUCCUUGGGGGACCACCUGUGGCGAAGGCGUCUCACCAGGACGGCUCCGACAGUGAGGGACGAAAGCUGGGGGAGCAAACCGGAUUAGAUACCCGGGUAGUCCCAGCCGUAAACGAUGUGCGUUAGGUGUAUCGGUGACCACGAGUCACCGAGGUGCCGAAGAGAAAUCGUGAAACGUACCGCCUGGGAAGUACGGUCGCAAGGCUGAAACUUAAAGGAAUUGGCGGGGGA
rnacentral:rRNA from 1 species